AUCGUGGAAUGUUGAACUUCGAGGCGCCGUAUCAAAUUACAAUCCUCCCAUUCCUGAUAACUUUCUAUCCUAUAUGUAUCUUCUAGGUAAAAUCAUGUAUUUUCUUUGAGGUGAUCAAGUUCAUGGGGUAAUUAUAGCGAGAUAUCAAAGCCAGCUGUCCAUCUUGCAUCGGCCUGAUAUAUCAAAGAAUCAAGCAUAAGAACUCAGUAAUCACCAACACACCAACAGGCUUUGGACUGAUAGAAUAUCUGAUGCAAACUCAGAUUUCUGCGGUAUGAGGACAUCCUCAAU
rnacentral:lncRNA from 1 species